rnacentral:lncRNA from 1 species
CUUUCCCUAUGUGAGUCAUUGUGCUCAAUCACAGAUUUUAGCCCUCUCUUAAAAAGGAUAAGCAGGAUAAAACUCCAGCAAAACCCAGUGGUAUCAGUGCUGUGCAAUGAAGUGUCUGUGAUGGGUGAAAGGAAGAGGAGACUCCUGUUCAUCCUGCUACUGCCACUGCUAAAACACAAAGUUAUGGAUACAGAUUUCCUCAACAGGAGGAGUGGCAAGUGCAAGAAACUUUGAGAAGUCUGGUGUAUGCAAAACCUCAAGGAAGAGCAAAGGACACUGCAGGAUUCAACAUGCUGGACAAUUACGGAAGAUGAAGAUUUCAAAGCACCUUUGAACUGUAGUAGUUAAUCAAUACUCUGGAGAAUAUAAAUCUGUGCUAAAGAUUCAGCAUUUCAAAUUAAAAUAAGGAGCUCUUCUACAGCAAAACCAGCAAAGGCCAAAGAAUGUUCUUAAUCUCUAAAGGUUAAAUAAGGAAUUUCAGAAAAAUCAGUCUGUCCAUAUCUGUCAUGCAAAAAAAUCAACUAAUGAACAUUUUGUAUCUGUUUAAAAAAUAAAAAUCUUUAAGAUAUUCA